GUAUCUACUAUUGCAGUGAUUCGUAGUUGUGUUAUCACCCGAGUGGUGUUUGUUUUGUUACACUUUAUUGCCGACGCGUUGCUGAAAAGCUCAUCCGGGUGUUUUCUGUCUGAAGUCAGUCUUUGACCAUAUUUGCUGAUUUCUCGCUGAUUGGUUCAGGUUCUCUGGUUGAACUGGUUUCUGUCUUGCAGCUCCGGUCACCAGUCCUCCUCGCACAACGACGAGCGCCGCGGCGCUGACGGACCGAGCAACGGAGCCGCCGGCCUCCACAGUGAACUGGAAAACCCUGCUGUCGUCUCAGCUGGAGCUUCUGAGGAGGAACUCCACCCUGCUGCGCUCCGACACCGUGGCUGUGGAGGACUCUGUGCCGUCGCUCUCCCUGCAGAUCAACGUUCCCGUCCUCUCGCUCUCCGUCAGCGUCUUGUUGAUCUUGGCUGCAGUUUUCCUCUUCCUGGCCUUC